rnacentral:rRNA from 1 species
CCUACGGGUCGCAGCAGUGGGGAAUAUUGCAUAAUGGGCGCAAGCCUGAUGCAGCCAUGCCGCGUGUAUGAAGAAGGCCUUCGGGUUGUAAAGUACUUUCAGCGGGGAGGAAGGCGAUAAGGUUAAUAACCUUGUCGAUUGACGUUACCCGCAGAAGAAGCGCCGGCUAACUCCGUGCCAGCAGCCGCGGUAAUACGGAGGGUGCAAGCGUUAAUCGGAAUUACUGGGCGUAAAGCGCACGCAGGCGGUCUGUCAAGUCGGAUGUGAAAUCCCCGGGCUCAACCCGGGAACUGCAUUCGAAACUGGCAGGCUGGAGUCUUGUAGAGGGGGGUAGAAUUCCAGGUGUAGCGGUGAAAUGCGUAGAGAUCUGGAGGAAUACCGGUGGCGAAGGCGGCCCCCUGGACAAAGACUGACGCUCAGGUGCGAAAGCGUGGGGAGCAAACAGGAUUAGGUACCCUUGUAGUC